GGACGGGUAGCUUAGGUUGGCUGGAGCACCCGGCUGAUAACCGGGAGGUCGCAGGUUCAAAUCCUGCCUCGUCCACC
rnacentral:tRNA from 1 species